UACGGAGGGGGCGAGCGUUAUUCGGAAUCAUUGGGCGUAAAGGGCGCGUAGGCGGCCUGAUAAGUCAAAGGUGAAAUCCCUCGGCUCAACUGAGGAACUGCCUUUGAAACUGCCAGGCUUGAGGCCGGGAGGGGGUGGCGGAAUUCCCAGUGUAGCGGUGAAAUGCGUAGAUAUUGGGAGGAACACCAGUGGCGAAGGCGGCCACCUGGACCGGUUCUGACGCUGAUGCGCGAAAGCGUGGGGAGCAAACAGG
rnacentral:rRNA from 1 species